rnacentral:rRNA from 1 species
CCUACGGGUGGCAGCAGUCGAGAAUUAUUCACAAUGGGGGAAACCCUGAUGGUGCGACGCCGCGUGGGGGAAUGAAGGUCUUCGGAUUGUAAACCCCUGUCAUGUGGGAGCAAAUUAAAAAGAUAGUACCACAAGAGGAAGAGACGGCUAACUCUGUGCCAGCAGCCGCGGUAAUACAGAGGUCUCAAGCGUUGUUCGGAAUCACUGGGCGUAAGGCGUGCGUAGGCUGUUUCGUAAGUCGUGUGUGAAAGGCGCGGGCUCAACCCGCGGACGGCACAUGAUACUGCGAGACUAGAGUAAUGGAGGGGGAACCGGAAUUCUCGGUGUAGCAGUGAAAUGCGUAGAUAUCGAGAGGAACACUCGUGGCGAAGGCGGGUUCCUGGACAUUAACUGACGCUGAGGCACGAAGGCCAGGGGAGCGAAAGGGAUUAGAUACCACGGUAGUC